rnacentral:rRNA from 1 species
UACGUAGGGUGCAAGCGUUGUUCGGAAUUACUGGGCGUAAAGCGCGCGUAGGCGGCUUUUCAAGUCGAGUGUGAAAGCCCCAGGCUUAACCUGGGAAUUGCGCUCGAUACUGUUGAGCUAGAGUGUGGUAGGGGAGACUGGAAUUCCUGGUGUAGCGGUGGAAUGCGCAGAUAUCAGGAGGAACACCGAUGGCGAAAGGCAGGUCUCGUGGGCCAUUACUGACGCUGAGAAGCGAAAGCAUGGGGAGCGAACAGG